rnacentral:rRNA from 1 species
GGUUAACGUAUCGGAAUACUGGGCGUAAGCGCGCGUAGGCGGCUUGAUAAGCCGGUUGUGAAAGCCCCGGGCACAACCUGGGAAUGGCAUCCGGAACUGUCAGGCUAGAGUGCAGGAGAGGAAGGUAGAAUUCCCGGUGUAGCGGUGAAAUGCGUAGAGAUCGGGAGGAAUACCAGUGGUUUUUUCCUGAC